rnacentral:rRNA from 1 species
AUUGAACGCUGGCGGCAGGCCUAACACAUGCAAGUCGAGCGGAUGAAUGGAGCUUGCUCCUGGAUUCAGCGGCGGACGGUUGAGUAGUGCCUAGGAAUCUGCCUGGUAGUGGGGGAUAACGUCCUGAAACGGGCUCUGAUACCGCAUGCGUCCUGAUGGAGACAUUGGGGGAGCUUCGGACCUCAUGCUUUCAGAUUAGCAUAGGUCGGAUUAGCUAGUUGGUGUGGUAAAGGCCUACCAAGGCGACGAUCCGUAACUGGUCUGAGAGCAUGAUCAGUCAGACUGUAAGUGAGAAAGGGCAGAGACUCCUACGGGAGGCCACAGUGGGGACUAUUGCACAAUGCACGAGUGCCUGAUCCUGCCAAGUCGCGUAUGUGAAGAAGGUCUUAGGCCUCUAAAACAAUUUAAGUUGGGAGGUAGGGCAGUACUUUAAUACCUUGCUGUUUUGACGUUACCAACAGAAUAAGCCCCGGCUAACUUCGUG